rnacentral:rRNA from 1 species
CUACGAAGGGGGCAAGCGUUGUUCGGAAUAACUGGGCGUAAAGCGCACGUAGGCGGAAUGUUAAGUUAGAGGUGAAAUCCCAGGGCUCAACCCUGGAACUGCCUUUAAUACUGGCAAUCUAGAGACCGAGAGAGGUGAGUGGAAUUCCGAGUGUAGAGGUGAAAUUCGUAGAUAUUCGGAGGAACACCAGUGGCGAAGGCGGCUCACUGGCUCGGUACUGACGCUGAGGUGCGAAAGCGUGGGGAGCAAACAGGAUUAGAAACCCGAGUAGUCC